rnacentral:lncRNA from 1 species
GUGCAUAUUUUGUCCAUGUUGAGCAGAGCACGCUCUCUCUCGCUCGCUCUCUCUCUCUCUCUCUCUCUCUCUCUGCUCCCUGGCUGCACUGUUCCCAGCUGAUCCUCCACCCCACAACUCUGCCAUGAUGUUCUGCCUCACUGCACCCCAAGGAGUAGAGCCGGCUGUCUAGGGAGGGAGACCUCUGAAACCGGGAGCCCCCAAAUGAACUUUUCCUCCUGUCCUUGUCACAGCAGGGAAGAUGCUGCCUUCAACACCACGGCCUCUCCCUCUGGCCGCUUGCUUUGUCUUGCUUCCGUGUAUAAUGACAUGUUUCACGAUCACCAAACCUUGUGCUGAUGACUCUGGUCAUUUGGGGUCUGGGCUCAUUCCCUGUUAGGUUCCUCAGGGAGAGCUUGUGGGAACACGACUCUUGCAGGUCACAGUAAUCCCCGUGCGUAUCUGGAAGCCAGUUUUGCUGGAUAUAAAACCCACGGAGCACCCCUCCUUCCUGUGAGACUCUGAAGUGGGAGGUCCGUUUUGAAGAUUGUCUAAUUUUUUUCCUUUGUAAGUUCUGUGCUCUUUUUCCCCCUUUUCGAUUCCUGAAGUUUUCAUAUGUCUUUAUUUUACUUUUUUGGUGGUGUGGGGAUCGGACCCAGGGCCCUGUGCAUGGGAGGCCAGCACUCUACCAGCACUCUACCAACAGAGCUACACGCCCAGCCCCUUGCUUUAUUUUCUGACCUCCGUGAUUUCCUGGACUCCGCCUUGCCUUGGCCAUUCUGAGUCAGUGGUCUCAGAAGUGCAGUAUUCUCUUUCAAUAACUGGUUUCAGAUCUCGUUUGUUUAUUUCAGGAAAUUUUUCUUGAUUUAUGUUUUUAAUAUUUGUUUUCUUCUUUUGGUUAUCUUCUUAAAGGACUCCUCUUGUCUUCAUGUUUAAUCAUCUUUGCCCAUCUUCAAUAUUUGCUUUAUUUUCUCAAAAAUCUUUUAAUUAUUUUUAAUUUAAAAUCUUUUUUGUUGUUGUUUUUUAAUCUACUAUUUCUUUUCAGGCAUUAUUUUUUGUUUGUUCACCCUUGUGUUCCUUCCAGCUUAGUCUGUGUUUGUGAUAUAAACUUUUGCCUUCUAAUUCUUUUAUGAGUAGUCAUCUCAUUUUUUAGUUUUCCCCCAAAUGGGAUUUAGCCCUUGUGUUGUAUCAUUUUAGCUCAUUUAUAAAAGGUAUGUUAAUUUUAGUCUGCUUUGUGGUCACCUCUUUGUGGUGUUUUGGUUGCCUAUAGAUGGGUUUAUUCUCUCCCUUACCCUCUUUUUCUUAUUUGUGGUCAUUUUAUGUGGGAUUGGUCCUUCUAUUGUUCGUUUUUAAGUGAAAUUUGUUCUCCAGAACUUUCCAAUUAAGCAGUGAUCAAGAACACUUUUCUUCCUCCAGAGACCUCCCUCCUCCAUUGUUUUGUGUAUUGUUUAAAAAAAAUCAAUCAACAAUCAAUCAAUAGAUCAAUAGACAGGGUGCCUUGCUUUCUGAGCACCCAGGGCCUUUCCCCAUCCUCAGUGUGGCCUGCAUCCUCCUCUCGUUAUAUCUACUGUCCAUUCUGAUUCCCUUUUCUGAGUUUCUCCUCUGUGCACGGUCUGUCUCUGAACUGAGCUCUCUGGAAGGGUGUUUGGAGAAGUCACAGAGCUUGGGCUGUGCCAGCCCCUGUGGUCCUCCCUCUGUCACCAGCAAUUGGAGGGACAAGCCCUUGGACUUCCCUGGCUGUCCCAGGACUCUGCCUUUGUUAGCUUCUGAGGACCCAGCCCUUUGUGACUGCACUCUGGGUAGAGGUAGCAGAAGCCAGGAGAUUUCUUUCUUUCUUUUUCUUUUUCUUUUUUUUUUUCAGUUACAUGAUUUUUUUUAUUAAUAGAUCCCAUUUUUAUUUGCCCCUUUUUUUUCUUUUUUUUCCACAUUUUUUAUUGGUGCCCUAGAAUUGUAGUUGUUGAUGUGCUUUGUUGUUCCAUAUUCAUGUGGGCACACCAUGUGACAAUAACGUGACCAGGUCAGAACAUUUCACUGCCGGUGGAUACUUCAGCAGGUGGAGGAGUACAGAAUGCAUUCUAGAUGCUCACGGAUAUACGCCAACAGUGUUUAGCAACUGAACUUUCCCCCAAAAUUAAUGGUGUAUAAUAUGGUUGAAUGAAUAUUUUAGAUAAAUAGCAAGUUGACAGUCUCUGUAAUUAUGUUAUGAGCUGAAAGGAGUGAUAAGUGUUUGUUUGAGUUUUACAUAUUAAUUUAGAAAAUUUUGACUUGAUUGUAAUUAAUAAUUAUUAGUUUUCAUUCAUAUUGAUAAUAAAUAUUUAAUUCAAAGAUAUGAAUGGAGCAAAAGGGUAAAAUUUUGAACCUUAGUUAGGUCUGUUAAUCUCUGUAUUAAGAUAGAAAUGAAGUGAAAAUUCUUUUUUUUUUAAAUCAUCAUUCUUUUUUAGGGACUCAUUCAGGUUUAAAAAUUAAUCUUUCAAAUGAACUGAAAAUUCAUAUUUUGUGACAGGUAGGGAAAAUCAAGUUAUGAAUCAUUUCUGUUCCACACCGAAUGCAAAUGUUAUGGGGAGAGGAACAUGCUUUUCAUGGACUAUUAUUUUUGUUCUUGGGGUUGAAUUAUUUGGGCAGGCUGCAGUGCUACCUGAGCCUGGGGCCUGCACCGAGGUCCUGGGAGGCCCCCUCCUCCUGGGAACAUAGGAGGGCCAGGGGUCAGACCACCGGCCUUCUCAGCCACUCAGCCAGCUGCAGAUGGUGGCGGGUGGGCUGAGGGUCCCAGCAGCAGUCUGGGCUGCUCCCUCCGCGGCCGUGGGUGCUCCCCUGUGGGAGGCUUUCUCCGGCAUCUUGAAGCAAGCCUGGGUGCACAUGGGCACUGUGAGGGCCAUCUUGAGCCCACGGGGAGGGGCCUGGCGCACCGUGAGGUCAGGGGAGGGAAGGUGAGGCCCCGUC